AUUGAACGCUGGCGGAAUGCUUUACACAUGCAAGUCGAACGGCAGCACGGGGGCAACCCUGGUGGCGAGUGGCGAACGGGUGAGUAAUACAUCGGAACGUGCCCAGUCGUGGGGGAUAACGUAGCGAAAGUUACGCUAAUACCGCAUACGAUCUACGGAUGAAAGCGGGGGACCGUAAGGCCUCGCGCGAUUGGAGCGGCCGAUGUCAGAUUAGGUAGUUGGUGAGGUAAAGGCGCACCAAGCCGACGAUCUGUACCUGCUCUGAGAGGACGAGCAGCCGCACUGGGACUGAGACGCGGCCCAGACUCCUACGGGAGGGAGCAGUGGGGAAUUUUGGACAAUGUGCGCAAGCCUGAUCCAGCCAUUCCGCGUGCAGGACGAAGGCCUUCGGGUUGUAAACUGCUUUUGUACGGAACGAAAAGGCUCUGGUUAAUACCUGGGGCUCAUGACGGUACCGUAAGAAUAAGCACCGGCUAACUACGUGCCAGCCGCCGCAGUAA
rnacentral:rRNA from 1 species